GUGUGUGUAUAUAAUGCAGUGUGUUUGUGUAGUGUGCAUUAUAUAAACACACAAACACACUGCAUUAUAUACACAAACUA
rnacentral:miRNA from 1 species